CGACACAGGAAGGCAUCUUCUCUGUGUGGAAAGCUCCGGCGGUGCAGGAUGAGCCCGCGGCCUAUCAGCUUGUUGGUGGGGUGAUGGCCUACCAAGGCGACGACGGGUAGCCGGCCUGAGAGGGCGACCGGCCACACUGGGACUGAGACACGGCCCAGACUCCUACGGGAGGCAGCAGUGGGGAAUAUUGCACAAUGGGCGAAAGCCUGAUGCAGCGACGCCGCGUGAGGGAUGACGGCCUUCGGGUUGUAAACCUCUUUCAGCAGGGAAGAAGCGCAAGUGACGGUACCUGCAGAAGAAGCACCGGCUAACUACGUGCCAGCAGCCGCGGUAAUACGUAGGGUGCGAGCGUUGUCCGGAAUUAUUGGGCGUAAAGAGCUCGUAGGCGGCUUGUCACGUCGGAUGUGAAAGCCCGGGGCUUAACCCCGGGUCUGCAUUCGAUACGGGCAGGCUAGAGUUCGGUAGGGGAGAUCGGAA
rnacentral:rRNA from 1 species